AUUCUCUCUCACAAUGAAUCAGGGACACGAUCUGACUCCUAUAAGGGCCAUAUUCAAAAAGUGGGUCUCCAGGCUUGAAUGUAGUGGCGUGAUCAUUGCACUGCUCACUGCAGCCUCGACACCUCCAAACUCAGGUGAUUGCAUCCUUUGAAAGCCUGUUUGCAUAGCAGACAAUGAAGCUGAGCAGAGAAAAACAAGAUGAGAGACAGAUGGAGUAGGAGACCUGAGAAGAUGGCUUGAGUCCAUGAAUUCUGGUGUUCCCUAGGCCACAUUUGCCCCCAUCCUUCCCAGCAGACACUUGAAGAAGCAUCUUUCUUGUGAUCUCCUGGCUGGUACCCUGAAGUCCUGUUAUGCCAAUGGACCAGCAACCCUCGCAGGUAGGAAUUACUGCUAGAAAGACUAUCCUCUCUGCAGGCAAAUUUCUGGAAGGAUACUAUUUUAUGGGGAAAAAUGUGAACAACUGUAGGUAAUUUCACAGUCUGUAGGGCUUGUCUCCUAUUUGUAAUUUCUUACAUGUUUACUCGUGGUGGAAAUGUGGAGGUGGCUAAGGAACAAGCAGGCCCGCUGUGUUUCAGUGGCUUUCAGAGAAGGUGGCGGGAAAUAGUCUCUUCUCAGCAGCAGCUGAAUCCCAGUGUUAGCAGACGGAGCCUUGUUUCUUGAAAGUACAUUCCCAGGGAUUCCCUUGAAGAAUGUGAGAGAUCAGCUGGAAUGAAACUGGAUGUUUUAGGGUCCUGAGGGAAAUGUAAAUCCAGCAGCUUAUUCUCAAGAUGUGGCUCCAGAACCAGCAGCACUGAUUCUUCUAAAGAGUUGAGAGUGCAUUUUAGCUGUGAUAUCUUUGUACUCUUAAGAAAUCCUCCUCAACAAGACAAAACUUGACCAAGAGCAUUCAGUUGUCUUCCAGAAGGCUCCCUUGAGGACUGGGACUCUUCCUGGAUGCACCCAAUUAAUCUAUUGAAACAAGGACUCGUGAUGGCAGCCCCUCACCUGACAAACUGGAUUUUCCCCAGAGAUCAUUUGUAAUGUUUUUCCUGAAUCUUAUUUGUGUUUCCCUAUUAGCAAUGUUAUGUAUUUCUAUAUCGCAAAUCCUAAGUGCCGCCUGUAGAACCUAACCUCCAUUUAUAGCAUGGAACACACAGCCCAUCACGUAUCCUUGCCCUGGCCUUCAGCCUCUGAAUAUUUUAAUAAAAAUCACUCUUUCCUCCUUAAGGACCAUGUUCUUUAAAAGCUUAACACAUAGUUCUUAAUAAUUGGUUGCUUUACUUGAUGUUUCUCUGUUUAUCUUGGCUGCCCAGAAGCUCAGACUUAAAUGUAAGAGUCUACUUACAGUAACAACCUUGUUGCGGAUACAAUUAAUUCUCC
rnacentral:lncRNA from 1 species